UGAGGAAUAUUGGUCAAUGGACGAGAGUCUGAACCAGCCAAGUCGCGUGAAGGAAGACGGAUCUAUGGUUUGUAAACUUCUUUUGUAUGUGAGCAAUAAGGUCCACGAGUGGUCCGAUGAGAGUAGCAUACGAAUAAGCAUCGGCUAACUCCGUGCCAGCAGCCGCGGUAAUACGGAGGAUGCAAGCGUUAUCCGGAUUCAUUGGGUUUAAAGGGUGCGUAGGCGGCUUGGUAAGUCAGCGGUGAAAUUCCAGUGCUCAACAUUGGCCGUGCCGUUGAUACUGUUGGGCUUGAAUGCGGAUGCCGUGGGAGGAAUGUGUGGUGUAGCGGUGAAAUGCAUAGAUAUCACACAGAACACCGAUUGCGAAGGCAUCUCACGAA
rnacentral:rRNA from 1 species